GAUGAAGAACGCAGCGAAAUGCGAUAAGUAGUGUGAAUUGCAGAAUUCAGUGAAUCAUCGAAUCUUUGAACGCACAUUGCGCCUCCUGGUAUUCCGGGAGGCAUGCCUGUUCGAGCGUCAUUAAAAUCACUCAAGCUUAGGUUUACCUAUUGCUUGGUCUUGGAGAUGGAAGCCAAUUUAUUGGAAUCCUCUUCGAAAUUCAAUGGCGAAGACCCUUGCUCUCCCAAGUGUAGUAAUAACUUAUGUCACUGAAGGAAGCGAGAAAUCUUCUGCCGUAACCCCCAUAUUUUCUAUGAUUGACCUCGGAUCAGGUAGGGAUACCCGCUGAACUUAAGCAUACAAUAAGCGGAGGA
rnacentral:misc_RNA from 1 species